AUUUCUUCGGAAUGAAGUUUUGGUGACUGAGUGGCGGACGGGUGAGUAACGCGUGGGUAACCUGCCUCACACAGGGGGAUAACAGCUGGAAACGGCUGCUAAUACCGCAUAAGCGCACGAAGAGACAUCUCCUAGUGUGAAAAACUCCGGUGGUACAGGAUGGGCCCGCGUCUGAUUAGCUGGUUGGCAGGGUAACGGCCUACCAAGGCAAUGAUCAGUAGCCGGUCUGAGAGGAUGAACGGCCACAUUGGAACUGAGACACGGUCCAAACUCC
rnacentral:rRNA from 1 species